CGUGUAGGCGGUUAAUAAAGUUGAGAGUGAAAUCCCCGGGCUUAACCUGGGAACUGCUUUCAAAACUCAUUAACUAGAGAACGAUAGAGGAUAGUAGAAUUCCUAGUGUAGAGGUGAAAUUCUUAGAUAUUAGGAGGAAUACCGGUGGCGAAGGCGGCUAUCUGGGUCGUUUCUGACGCUAAGGCGCGAAAGCGUGGGGAGCAAACAGGAUUAGAUACCCUGGUAGUCCACGCUGUAAACGAUGAGUGUUAGGUGUUGGGGUCGCAAGAUCUCAGUGCCGCAGCUAACGCAUUAAACACUCCGCCUGGGAAGUAAGAUCGCAAGAUUAAA
rnacentral:rRNA from 1 species